UACAGAGGGUGCGAGCGUUAAUCGGAAUUACUGGGCGUAAAGCGUGCGUAGACGGCUAUCUAAGUCGGGUGUGAAAGCCCCGGGCUCAACCUGGGAAUUGCAUUCGAGACUGAAUAGCUAGGGUGCGGUAGAGGGAAGCGGAAUUUCCGGUGUAGCGGUGAAAUGCAUAGAUAUCGGAAGGAACAUCAGUGGCGAAAGCGGCUUCCUGGGCCAGCACCGACGUUCAGGCACGAAAGCGUGGGGAGCAAACAGG
rnacentral:rRNA from 1 species